rnacentral:rRNA from 1 species
CCCUUAUCCUAUGUUGCCAGCAUUUAGUUGGGGACUCAUAGGAGACUGCCGGGGUCAACUCGGAGGAAGGUGGGGAUGACGUCAAGUCAUCAUGCCCCUUAUGCCCAGGGCUGCAAACACGCUACAAUGGCCGGUACAGAGGGCUGCGAUCUCGCGAGAGUGAGCGAAUCCCACAAAGCCGGUCUCAGUUCGGAUUGGAGUCUGCAACUCGACUCCAUGAAGCCGGAGUUGCUAGUAAUCCCGGAUCAGCACGCCGGGGUGAAUACGUUCCCGGGCCUUGUACACACCGCCCGU